GCAGGCGCUGCUAUACAUGCAGUCGAGCGGACAGAUGGGAGCUUGCUCCCUGAUGUUAGCGGCGGACGGGUGAGUAACACGUGGGUAACCUGCCUGUAAGACUGGGAUAACUCCGGGAAACCGGGGCUAAUACCGGAUGGUUGUCUGAACCGCAUGGUUCAGACAUAAAAGGUGGCUUCGGCUACCACUUACAGAUGGACCCGCGGCGCAUUAGCUAGUUGGUGAGGUAACGGCUCACCAAGGCGACGAUGCGUAGCCGACCUGAGAGGGUGAUCGGCCACACUGGGACUGAGACACGGCCCAGACUCCUACGGGAGGCAGCAGUAGGGAAUCUUCCGCAAUGGACGAAAGUCUGACGGAGCAACGCCGCGUGAGUGAUGAAGGUUUUCGGAUCGUAAAGCUCUGUUGUUAGGGAAGAACAAGUGCCGUUCAAAUAGGGCGGCACCUUGACGGUACCUAACCAGAAAGCCACGGCUAACUACGUGCCAGCAGCCGCGGUAAUACGUAGGUGGCAAGCGUUGUCCGGAAUUAUUGGGCGUAAAGGGCUCGCAGGCGGUUUCUUAAGUCUGAUGUGAAAGCCCCCGGCUCAACCGGGGAGGGUCAUUGGAAACUGGGGAACUUGAGUGCAGAAGAGGAGAGUGGAAUUCCACGUGUAGCGGUGAAAUGCGUAGAGAUGUGGAGGAACACCAGUGGCGAAGGCGACUCUCUGGUCUGUAACUGACGCUGAGGAGCGAAAGCGUGGGGAGCGAACAGGAUUAGAUACCCUGGUAGUCCACGCCGUAAACGAUGAGUGCUAAGUGUUAGGGGGUUUCCGCCCCUUAGUGCUGCAGCUAACGCAUUAAGCACUCCGCCUGGGGAGUACGGUCGCAAGACUGAAACUCAAAGGAAUUGACGGGGGCCCGCACAAGCGGUGGAGCAUGUGGUUUAAUUCGAAGCAACGCGAAGAACCUUACCAGGUCGUGACAUCCUCUGACAAUCCUAGAGAUAGGACGUCCUCUUCGGGGGCAGAGUGACAGUGGUGCAUGGUUGUCGUCAGCUCGUGUCGUGAGAUGUUGGGUUAAGUCCCGCAACGAGCGCAACCCUUGAUCUUAGUUGC
rnacentral:rRNA from 1 species